rnacentral:rRNA from 1 species
GACGAGCGCUGGCGGCGUGCUUAACACAUGCAAGUCGAACGGAAAGGCCCUGCUUUUGUGGGGUGCUCGAGUGGCGAACGGGUGAGUAACACGUGAGUAACCUGCCCUUGACUUUGGGAUAACUUCAGGAAACUGGGGCUAAUACCGGAUAGGAGCUCCUGCUGCAUGGUGGUGGUUGGAAAGUUUCGGCGGUUGGGGAUGGACUCGCGGCUUAUCAGCUUGUUGGUGGGGUAGUGGCUUACCAAGGCUUUGACGGGUAGCCGGCCUGAGAGGGUGACCGGCCACAUUGGGACUGAGAUACGGCCCAGACUCCUACGGGAGGCAGCAGUGGGGAAUAUUGCACAAUGGGCGGAAGCCUGAUGCAGCAACGCCGCGUGCGGGAUGACGGCCUUCGGGUUGUAAACCGCUUUCGCCUGUGACGAAGCGUGAGUGACGGUAAUGGGUAAAGAAGCACCGGCUAACUACGUG